rnacentral:lncRNA from 1 species
AUAUCAAAAUGAGUAGCUACCCUGAAGACUGAGUCUUCCACAGAUGAACUGCAGCAGUUGUAAGCUGAUUCUCUACGGUCCAGUCUCGAAACCUACGAGUUAAAUAAAUAACUCGCUGAGCAAAUAAUGCUCAGUGGAUAUCUCAAUUUAAUAAGAAAUAAAACAAUAAACAUAUAAGCACACAUAUCAUUAUACUUUCAUGAUUUUACCUGCUGUUCAUGAUGCUGUAUAAAUUUUGCAACUUUUAUUAACCAUCGUAUAUACUUUAUAAUAAAUCACAUAACUGCAUGGCUCCAUAAGGUUAUAGUGAAACCAAAGUGAUAAGAAAAACUGUAUGAACUGUAUGAAACUGGAUGAAUACUGUAUGGCUGGGCUGUUAUGGCCCGUAUAUAAAUCAUAUCCACUCAACAGCCUGUAGCUGGAGUACCAAACUGUAUGGGGCGCAGAUCUGCUAUCCUAUGUCGCGACAUAGUCUUAUCUACGUGGUUUCUGGCUAACCUUAAUGGAGCAUAUUAUGUGUAUUGUGAUAAUACAAGAAUUAUUUAGAAAAUAUCUAAUGAGGAAUAAUGCAUACCAUUGAUAAUGUAUAAAGUAACUUGCAUGGAAAUACUCUAGCUAUUGCACCCGCGAUGCAAUUCUUACUAAUAUUUAUGUAACUAAAUUUUACCAUUCAGAUUAAGGAAAUUCUUAGUUUGAAUUAAGUUCACUUAGAAGGUAAAAUGCAGUAAUAAUUUUCGGGUGAAUGAAUCUACAUAUGCAUUCCAACAUCAUUUCUAAUGUGUUCUUGAAAUCUGCCAGACAGCCUGUACAUGUUUCACAAAUCCUAUCAUAACUCUUUCUGUAUACGUCCAAUUUAGGUUAUUCUAAAUUCUAUGGUUAGCUAACAUCUUAAGGUACAAAGUUUUCUUCUAUCACAUCUCUUAAUUACGUUGGCAAGGUAGUCACAUAUUGAGCUCAAGUAGCAACUGCCAGUCUGCCCUGCUGUUGGUUUCCAGCCUGCCCAGUUUAUACUAUUUUGGUCAUAUCUCUCAAUUUAUAACUCCAAUUUAGGUGAUUCUACAUUCUAUGGUUAGCUAACACAUUAGGCUACAAAUUUGUCUUCUACCACAUCUCUUAAUUACGUUGGUAAGGUAGUCAAACAUUGAGCUCAAGUAGCAACUGUCAGUCUGCCCUGCUGUUGGGUUCCAGCCUGCACAAGUUAUACUAUUUUGGUCACAGAUCUCAAUAUAUAACUCCAAUUUAGGUGAUUCUGCCUUCUAUGGUUAGCUAACACAUUAGGCUACAAAUUUGUCUUCUACCACAUCUCUUAAUUACGUUGGUAAGGUAGGCAAAUAUUUACCGAAAUGAGCAACUUCCAGUCCGUCCAGACUGUUGAUUUCCAGCCUGCACAGUCUGUACUAUUUUGGUCAUAUCUCUCAAUUUAUAACUCCAAAUUAGGUGAUUCAAAAACUCAUGGACAGAUAAAACAUAGAGGAACAAAUAACUCUUCUAUACCACUUCCUAAUUCCAUCGUUAAACAGAGUCAAAAUCAGGGUGAAGUUACUGGUCAAUGGUCCAACAAACUGGGUUCAGCAUGAAAUCAAUAUCUACUUCAUUCAUUCAAUUCAUCCCAUGCUUUAUCACCAUUUACAGACCUCUAAUUCAACAUUCAGCAACAUAUCUUUGCAUUAUCCACACACUACAGAAGUGUUCAUGCAAGAAAAUGUGAAAAACUAAAAGAGAUAUCAAACCUUCAACCAAAAGAGCUUUAAAUCUUCUUCUUAGCUUCCUUUUCCUCCAACUUUGAGCUCCCCUCUCUUAUAUAUCAUAACUCUUAUAAAUCAUCUAAAAUAUCACAAAAGUAUGAAAUUUAAGAAAGGCUACUUACUUGGAUAGAGUUCUAGGUUGAAUUUAGUGUUUAAAUCACAUGAAAAGUGAUGGAGAAAGGAAGGAGAUGAAGAGAAAGAUAAGAGGAGAUGAAGAGGAAGAUGGAGAUGAAGAAGAAGACGUUGAAGAUGAAG